CACGGCCUUGCUGUUGUUCACGUAGUGGUCGCAGUCGAGGUUGAGGAUGAAGGGCGCGUUGGUGAGCACGGCGGAGACGCGCACCAGCGCGUUCAUGGCGCCGGCCUUCUUGUGGUGGUUGUACCCGGGCCGCUUCUCACGGGACACGUACACCAGCCGGGGCAGCUCGUGUCCUUCCACGUCCAGCGCGCCCUGGGUGCCGAGGUACACCUGGAUCAUGCCCGGGUGGUCGCGCGUGUUGUUGCCGGGCCACGGCGUGCCGUCCUGCAUCACCCACCCUUCCUCGGGCUUCUUCUGC
rnacentral:lncRNA from 1 species